rnacentral:rRNA from 1 species
CCGUCCGUGUCGAGGUGUGUGAUGCUAAGCAUGUGAGCUUGUCUUGGGAGUGUUUUUGAUGCUUCUGGGGUGGGUGAGUGUGUGAACCGAUCAUGUAGUAGGCAAGCUGCGGAGGGACGCAGUGAGGUAGCUCAUCCCCGGUGAUGGUUGUCCGGGGCUAAGUGUGUGGACUGUCUGGUAGGUAAAUCCGCUGGGCGUGAAGGUUGAGGCAUGAUGGGGAGCCCACGGUUGUGGGUGAGUGAGUGAUCCUGUACUGUCGAGAAAAGCUUCGUGAGCGAGGUGGCGGGUCCGCCCGUACCCUAAACCGACACUGGUGGAUAGGUAGAGUAUACCGAGGCGAUCGAGUGAAUCGUGGUGAAGGAACUCGGCAAAAUGCCCCCGUAACUUUGGGAUAAGGGGGACCUGAGCUGUCGUGCACCCGUGCGGUGUGGUGGCGGUGAGGGGCGCAGAGUCCAGGGGGAAACGACUGUUUACCAAAAACACAGGUCCGUGCGAAGUCGUAAGACGAUGUAUACGGACUGACUCCUGCCCGGUGCUGGAAGGUUAAGGGGAACUGUGAGUGUAUGCGUAGCGGUGAACUUAAGCCCCAGUAAACGGCGGUGGUAACUAUAACCAUCCUAAGGUAGCGAAAUUCCUUGUCGGGUAAGUUCCGACCUGCACGAAUGGAGUAACGAUUUCCCUACUGUCUCCACCAUGAACUCGGUGAAAUUGCAUUACGAGUAAAGAUGCUCGUUACGCGCAGCAGGACGGAAAGACCCCGGGACCUUUACUAUAGUUUGGUAUUGGUGAUUGGGACGGUUUGUGUAGGAUAGGUGGGAGACGUUGAUGCGGCCACGCUAGUGGUGGUGGAGUCGUUGGUGAAAUACCACUCUGAUUGUUCUGGUUAUCUCACUGUGGACCGUGAUCCGGUUCAAGGACAGUGCCUGAUGGGUAGUUUGACUGGGGCGGUCGCCUCCUAAAGGGUAACGGAGGCGCCCAAAGGUUCCCUCAGCCUGGUUGGUAAUCAGGUGGUGAGUGUAAGUGCACAAGGGGGCUUGACUGUGAGACUGACAGGUCGAGCAGGGACGAAAGUCGGGACUAGUGAUCUGACGGUGGCUUGUGGAUGCGCCGUCACUCAACGGAUAAAAGGUACCCCGGGGAUAACAGGCUGAUCUUGCCCGAGCGCUCAUAGCGACGGCAUGGUUUGGCACCUCGAUGUCGGCUCGUCGCAUCCUGGGGCUGGAGUCGGUCCCAAGGGUUGGGCUGUUCGCCCAUUAAAGCGGCACGCGAGCUGGGUUCAGAACGUCGUGAGACAGUUCGGUCCCUAUCCGCUGCGCGCGGAGGAAUCUUGAGAAGGGCUGUCUUUAGUACGAGAGGACCGGGACGGACUGACCUCUGGUGUGCCAGUUGUUCUGCCAAGAGCAUGGCUGGUUGGCUACGUCGGGUUGUGAUAACCGCUGAAAGCAUCUAAGCGGGAAGCACGCUUCAAGAUAAGGGUUCCCACAGGAGUGUUCCUGGUAAGGUCCCCGAGAGAUGAUCGGGUUGAUAGGCCAGACGUGGACGCAUCGUAAGGUGUGGAGCUGACUGGUACUAAUAGACCGAGGACUUUCAUUA